GUGCUUGCUUCGGCAGCACAUAUACUAAAAUUGGAACAAUACAGAGAAGGUUAGCAUGGCCCCUGCGCAAGGAUGACACACAAAUUCGUGAAGCGCUACAUUUUUAU
rnacentral:snRNA from 1 species